CCAUCUCAUCAUUUAUGGCCUUUUGCCAUAAAUCAACAUCCAUGGAAGACAACACUUCUUGAAGGCUAAUUGGAUCCUUUUCUAUUGUAUAGACCAUGUAAUCAAGUCCAUACUCUUUAGCAAAUCGUGCUCUAUUAAAAAAAAAACUUUAAAGUACUCACUAGUUACUUCAUUAAAGAAGCUUUGCCCCAAAUAUAGAAUAGUCCUUAAAUUAGUGGGUGUCUUGGAGCACAAGGACAUGUGUAGAGUAUAUGCAACAGAAAGAAACUUCCCAUAUUUCACUCUCUCGGUAACUGACGCCAUCAAACCCUUUUUCUCAUUCAUUUUCCCCUACUUUCAAGAUCGUAUUUUUACUUUACAAAAUUGAUUAUUUGGGGAUUAUGCUAUCUGGGUUCUCUUUAUUUUCUCAUUAACAUUUCUGGGUUGCUGAUUUUUUUAUGUUAACUGUUUUCUUUGUGGUUUCAAGUUUAUAGAUUGGUGUAAAAGGAGAAAUGGAAAGAGCUUUCGCAAACCUUAAUCUUGAAGGAAACUUCUAUAGCUGCAAACAUUGCCAGACACAUUUUGCCCUUGUUGAUGAUAUCAUUUCCAAGGUGUAAGGUGAUGGGGCCUGAUUGAAGCCUCUACUUGGCUGAUCAAGAAGAUGCUGAAGAGUGAAGAUGCUUGAUGGGACCAUUUCAUUUUGAAUUGUACAUUCUUUAUGCUUCAUCAUGUAGUUAAAAUCUGCUAUUUUGGAACUGGUAUAUUUGCAAGACCACUCAGAUAGAAUUUUGAAAACUGCUAGUGUUAGCUACUUCAAUUGGGAAAUCAGCAUUUGUUUUUGCA